AUUGAACGCUGGCGGCAGGCCUAACACAUGCAAGUCGAGCGGUUGACGGGAGCUUGCUCCCUGAUUCAGCGGCGGACGGGUGAGUAAUGCCUAGGAAUCUGCCUGGUAGUGGGGGACAACGUUUCGAAAGGAACGCUAAUACCGCAUACGUCCUACGGGAGAAAGCAGGGGACCUUCGGGCCUUGCGCUAUCAGAUGAGCCUAGGUCGGAUUAGCUAGUUGGUGUGGUAAUGGCUCACCAAGGCGACGAUCCGUAACUGGUCUGAGAGGAUGAUCAGUCACACUGGAACUGAGACACGGUCCAGACUCCUACGGGAGGCAGCAGUGGGGAAUAUUGGACAAUGGGCGAAAGCCUGAUCCAGCCAUGCCGCGUGUGUGAAGAAGGUCUUCGGAUUGUAAAGCACUUUAAGUUGGGAGGAAGGGUUGUAGAUUAAUACUCUGCAAUUUUGACGUUACCGACAGAAUAAGCACCGGCUAACUCUGUGCCAGCCGCCGCGGUAACAC
rnacentral:rRNA from 1 species